rnacentral:tRNA from 1 species
GGGCCUAUAGCUCAGCGGUAGAGCCGUCGACUCAUAAUCGAAAAGACGCAGGUUCGAAUCCUGCUGGGCCCA